CUAAGGCUAAAUACUCUCUAGUGACCGAUAGUGAACCAGUACCGUGAGGGAAAGGUGAAAAGCACCCCGGAAGGGGAGUGAAAUAGAACCUGAAACCGUGUGCUUACAAGUAGUCAGAGCCCGUUAAUGGGUGAUGGCGUGCCUUUUGUAGAAUGAACCGGCGAGUUACGAUUUGAUGCAAGGUUAAGCAGUAAAUGUGGAGCCGUAGCGAAAGCGAGUCUGAAUAGGGCGUUUAGUAUUUGGUCGUAGACCCGAAACCAGGUGAUCUACCCUUGGUCAGGUUGAAGUUCAGGUAACACUGAAUGGAGGACCGAACCGACUUACGUUGAAAAGUGAGCGGAUGAACUGAGGGUAGCGGAGAAAUUCCAAUCGAACCUGGAGAUAGCUGGUUCUCUCCGAAAUAGCUUUAGGGCUAGCCUCAAGUGAUGAUUAUUGGAGGUAGAGCACUGUUUGGACGAGGGGCCCCUCUCGGGUUACCGAAUUCAGACAAACUCCGAAUGCCAAUUAAUUUAACUUGGGAGUCAGAACAUGGGUGAUAAGGUCCGUGUUCGAAAGGGAAACAGCCCAGACCACCAGCUAAGGUCCCAAAAUAUAUGUUAAGUGGAAAAGGAUGUGGCGUUGCCCAGACAACUAGGAUGUUGGCUUAGAAGCAGCCAUCAUUUAAAGAGUGCGUAAUAGCUCACUAGUCGAGUGACACUGCGCCGAAAAUGUACCGGGGCUAAACAUAUUACCGAAGCUGUGGAUUGUCCUUUGGACAAUGGUAGGAGAGCGUUCUAAGGGCGUUGAAGCAUGAUCGUAAGGACAUGUGGAGCGCUUAGAAGUGAGAAUGCCGGUGUGAGUAGCGAAAGACGGGUGAGAAUCCCGUCCACCGAUUGACUAAGGUUUCCAGAGGAAGGCUCGUCCGCUCUGGGUUAGUCGGGUCCU
rnacentral:rRNA from 1 species